AUAGAGAUGGCUCAGUGGUUUAGAGCACCUGUUGCUCUUGCUGAAGACCUGAGUUCAAUUCUCAGCUUCCACA
rnacentral:tRNA from 1 species